GACGAACGCUGGCGGCGUGCUUAACACAUGCAAGUCGAACGGAAAGGCCCUGCUUUUGUGGGGUGCUCGAGUGGCGAACGGGUGAGUAACACGUGAGUAACCUGCCCUUGACUUUGGGAUAACUUCAGGAAACUGGGGCUAAUACCGGAUAGGAGCUCCUGCUGCAUGGUGGGGGUUGGAAAGUUUCGGCGGGUGGGGAUGGACUCGCGGCUUAUCAGUUUGUUGGUGGGGUAGUGGCUUACCAAGGCUUUGACGGGUAGCCGGCCUGAGAGGGUGACCGGCCACAUUGGGCCUGAGGUACGGCCCAGACUGCUACGGGAGGCAGCAGUGGGGAGUAUUGCACAAUGGGCGGGAGCCUGAUGCAGAAGCGCCGCGUGCGGGAUGACGGCCUUCGGGUUGUAAACCGCUUUCGCCUGUGACGAAGCGUGAGUGACGGUAAUGGGUAAAGAAGCACCGGCUAACUACGUG
rnacentral:rRNA from 1 species